rnacentral:rRNA from 1 species
GACGAACGCUGGCGGCGUGCUUAACACAUGCAAGUCGAACGAAGAGCGAUGGAAGCCUGCUUCUAUCAAUCUUAGUGGCGAACGGGUGAGUAACGCGUAAUCAACCUGCCCUUCAGAGGGGGACAACAGUUGGAAACGACUGCUAAUACCGCAUACGAUCUAAUCUCGGCAUCGAGGAUAGAUGAAAGGUGGCCUCUACAUGUAAGCUAUCACUGAAGGAGGGGAUUGCGUCUGAUUAGCUAGUUGGAGGGGUAACGGCCCACCAAGGCGAUGAUCAGUAGCCGGUCUGAGAGGAUGAACGGCCACAUUGGGACUGAGAUACGGCCCAGACUCCUACGGGAGGCAGCAGUGGGGAAUCUUCCGCAAUGGACGAAAGUCUGACGGAGCAACGCCGCGUGAGCGAUGACGGCCUUCGGGUUGUAAAGCUCUGUUAAUCGGGACGAAAGGCCUUCUUGCGAAUAGUGAGAAGGAUUGACGGUACCGGAAUAGAAAGCCACGGCUAACUACGUG